AGUUUAUACUUUAUUUUGUUUGUCACAAACAUAUUUUUGUACUAUAAUAAAAUAUUUGCUUUAUUUGCUGAGAAAAUACUUGAAUGUAAUAUAUAUUCUGUUUCAAUAAUACAAGCAAAGUUUAAAAUAAUUGAGAUGACUGACCUACAUAAGGCCAAAUACACAAACCAGAAGAAAUGAUGAAAAUAAAUACAAUGCAUUUUGAUCAGUCAUGGCAAACAUAAUUUUUUUUAUUAUUUUAUUUUUUUAAU